GACGAACGCUGGCGGCGUGCCUAAUACAUGCAAGUCGAGCGAAUCUUUUGGGAGCUUGCUCCCUUAAGAUUAGCGGCGGACGGGUGAGUAGCACGUGGGUAACCUGCCUGUAAGACUGGGAUAACUUCGGGAAACCGGAGCUAAUACCGGAUACUUUCUUUUCUCGCAUGAGGGAAGAUGGAAAGAUGGUUCUGCUAUCACUUACAGAUGGACCCGCGGCGCAUUAGCUAGUUGGUGAGGUAACGGCUCACCAAGGCGACGAUGCGUAGCCGACGUGAGAGGGUGAUCGGCCAAGCUGGGACUGAGACACGGCCCAGAGUCCUACGGGAGGCAGCAGUAGGGAAUCUUCCGCAAUGGACGAAAGUCUGACGGAGCAACGCCGCGUGAGCGAAGAAGGCCUUCGGGUCGUAAAGCUCUGUUGUUAGGGAAGAACAAGUACGAGAGUAACUGCUCGUACCUUGACGGUACCUAACCAGAAAGCCACGGCUAACUACGUGCCAGCCGCCGCGGUAACAC
rnacentral:rRNA from 1 species